AUCUGCUCAAAAGUUUCCAUCUGUCCCCACCCUGGACUACACCAAGCCCCCACGACACGGUCAGUGUGUCUCCUGCCUUCCAAGCCUCCCACUCACAUCUGUAGGGUCAUAAGCCCUGAUUGCAUAGCUACCUUUCAGCCCCCUUACUACCUAUCCUAUUACCACACCCAGAGAUAUGUACACUUUGUACAGAGCCAAAAGCAAGAUCCUCAAGGAUGAAAGUCUAGGCCUUUGCAAGCCUGACAGAGUAAAAAGGGCUUUGGAGAGAAACAGAUCUCAGUCUGGAUCCUGGCUCCACCAGUUACUGGCUCUGUGAUCUCAACACAUUGCUUAACUUCUGCC
rnacentral:lncRNA from 10 species